rnacentral:rRNA from 1 species
GAUUUCUGACGAAACUGCUAGCUGGCCCGCCACGCAAGUGUGUGAGUGCCGGCUUGGCGUUUGUCAUCCGUUCGAAUGAUAUGCGUGCUGCCCUUCACUGGGUUGGCGCUGCAUGUUUUCGAUCUUUUACUUUGAAAAAAUUAGAGUGUUCAAAGCAGGCUUGCGCUAUGAAUACAUUAGCAUGGAAUAAUAAUUUAGGACUCCCGUUCUAUUUUGUUGGUUUCUAGGAUGGAAGUAAUGAUUGAUAGGGAUAGUUGGGGGUGCUAGUAUUCAGAGGCCAGAGGUGAAAUUCUUGGAUUCUCUGAAGACUAACUUAUGCGAAAGCAUU